rnacentral:piRNA from 1 species
UCACCUGAAGCCAUUAGCAGCAGC